GACGAACGCUGGCGGCGUGCUUAACACAUGCAAGUCGAACGGAAAGGCCCUGCUUUUGUGGGGUGCUCGAGUGGCGAACGGGUGAGUAACACGUGAGUAACCUGCCCUUGACUUUGGGAUAACUUCAGGAAACUGGGGCUAAUACCGGAUAGGAGCUCCUGCUGCAUGGUGGGGGUUGGAAAGUUUCGGCGGUUGGGGAUGGACUCGCGGCUUAUCAGCUUGUUGGUGGGGUAGUGGCUUACCAAGGCUUUGACGGGUAGCCGGCCUGAGAGGGUGACCGGCCACAUUGGGACUGGGAUACGGCCCGGACUCCUACGGGAGGCAGCAGUGGGGAAUGUUGCACAAUGGGCGGAGGCCUGAUGCAGCAACGCCGCGUGCGGGAUGACGGCCUUCGGGUUGGAUUCCGCUUUCGCCUGUGACGAAGCGUGAGUGACGGUAAUGGGUAAAGAAGCACCGGCUAACUACGUG
rnacentral:rRNA from 1 species